rnacentral:lncRNA from 1 species
GGCAGCUGGGCACAGUGCCUGGCACCCAUGCUUCAUCUGGGUCCGAAUCCCUUCACUUUAGUUCUUAGCAUGCAGAAGAAUGGCUGGAGGGAAGCAGCCCGGGGGCUGAAGGCUUCCAGAACUCCUGUGCUAACAAACCCUCAAUGGAACCUGCCCGGGCCAGGGCCUGUGCUCGGGGGUUCGGGAUGCUCGGGGGUUCAGGACGCUCGGGGGUUCAGGACGCUCCUUUAAUCCUCACAACUGCUCUGUGAAGUUGUCACUCGAGGUUCUGAGGUGAGGAAACCAGCACGGAGCAAACACACCGCUUCCCAAGGUCACGUCGCUUCCCAAGGUCACGUCGCUUCCCAAGGAUACGUUGCUCCCAAGGUCACGUUGCUUCCAAGGUCGCGUUGCUCCCAAGGUCGUGUUGCUUCCAAGAGGCAGGAGGGCAGCUCCUAUGACCCGUAACCACCACGAUGUAUGUCUGUGGGCGGUUUCCACAUUUUAUUUCAACGUAGGGUCAUAGUUAAGACGAGGGCUCUGAAGGUGGGCUGCCUGGUUCCAACCUCUGUAACGUAAGAUUAGUAUCUAGAAAACACACACACACACACACACACACACACGUCGUGUCUCAUCGUGUGGUUAUGACAUGGAUUACACAGUGCAUGGAAAGAGCUUGGCACAAACCCCCCCACACGGCAGGUGCUUCGCGGAGGGGGCAGUGACCGUCAUAGCACGAUAAAGGAGGCAGGAGGCAGGCCAGGCCUUGGGAUGCCAGUUCCCAUGACAACAGCCGCCGGCUCCUGCCCGGCUCGGUGCGGGUUCCCCUGUGGCCCUGACCACAGAGGUGAAGGGUGCUGCUUCGGACACGAGGUCUUUGCUACUGUUUUCCAGAAAAUCCACCAACACUGGUGUCUCCAGGCCAAAGGGGGUGGGGACGUGGGCUGAGGUUCUUUGAGGGAAUGGGAAGAAGAUCACCCAACAACGGCUCUGCCUCCUGUUGAGAAAGCAACUGUGGCUUCUGCUUUGUGGCCAGGCAGUGUUUCAGGCUGAAGGAAGUCAGAAGCAAUGGUGGUUCCGCGCUCUGCUCCAGGGAGGCUGCUCACAGCCUCCGCCCUCCCUGCUCCUCCCUGACCUCCCCGGCGGCAGAGUCCCAGGCUCUGCCUCUCCACGUGGGCCUCUGCCUCACCUCUUCUCACCGUUCCAGGCUUGUGUCCUCCCUUCCCCCUGCUCCUCCUCCUCCUGUCUUUCCUUCUCAUCACACACUCUUCUGCUCUCCCUCGAUUGCUCUCUCCCUCCUUCUCUCCCUCCCACUUUUCCUGAACCACAGCUUCCAGGAACAGAGUCAACUGUCUGACCGCUUUCAUGUAGUAGCUGCGGUUCUGGAAGGCCCUGGUCCGGGUGUGGAAGCCCAGGGAACUGUCUGCCAGGCUGGAGGCAGGGCCUGCACAGGGCACCCUUGUCUGCCUCUCCCUGGGGCUUCCACCUCCCACCCGGGCACCCACGUUCCCAGCGGCUUUCUGCUCGGGGAAGUUCUGCUGCUGAAACCGGGGAUUCCCAAAGUGGAAGGGGCCCUGCUGAAGAGCCAGCCACCUCCUCUACUUCUCAGUGAGAAGAAACCAAGGCGGUGGGGGACGCAAGGCGGGGCUUCCCCGGGAUCACACAGCCAAGCAGAGGCCAGGCCAGGGGUCCCUGAUCUGCCACCUGAGUCCUGGGCCCUUCCUGCCGCCCCACAGAGAGGAGACGGCUGGGUCAGAGGCCUGGCCUGUCAACAGGAAGGGCACGUCCCUCCUCCUAAAGGCCCAGCGAUCAGGCUGCAGUGUAGCAAUGAGGACACUGAGGACACAGGCUCCACGGAGGGGAGGAAGCGGCUGCCUGCCGCCUGCCCGGCUGUCAGACUCUGAUCUCAAAUUGGAAUUACGCCUCUCAUCUCCGCCCUACUUCGAAUCUGAGAGGCCUCCUCCGCCCUUCAGCUGCAGCCUCGUGACCAGGAACAGAGCGGGCCCUGUGUCCCGGAGGCCUUCAUCAGGGAGGGGGAAGCCAUCCAGGUGGGGGGGGCCUGUAUUGAUUACCCGUGCCCCCGCCCCUACGCCCCAAAGCCAGACACUGUGCUUGUGAGUUGUUACUUAGGUGAUUUUCAUUCCCUACCACAUCCCUGGAUGCUCGCCUCUGUGGCAGGGGGAGGAGGUGAGGCUCAGCGAGAAGGAGGUGAUGCUCGCCUCUGUGGCAGGUGGAGGAGGUGAGGCUCAGCGAGAAGGAGGUGAUGCUCGCCUCUGUGGCAGGGGGAGGAGGUGAGGCUCAGCGAGGAGAAGGAGGUGAUGCUCGCCUCUGUGGCAGGCGGAGGAGGUGAGGCUCAGCGAGGAGAAGGAGGUGAUGCUCACCUCUGUAGCAGGUGGAGGAGGGAGGCUCAGCGAGGAGAAGGACAUGGGGACUGCUGCGGGAUGGGAACCAGCUCUCUCUGCAUCGGAGUUGGAAGCAGCCGGACGGAGCUCAUCGUCUCUCCCGAGGACCGAGGGGAUUUCCAGCUGCUGAGCUAGUUGCCAGUGACCUGCUUUUUUCUUUCACAGCUUCCCUAUUUUGUCAGCAAAUUCUGUCUUUUUUUCUCCCAGCCUGGUCCCAACUGGGCGAUGCGUCCCCUCUUUUCUCUUCUUUAAAUUCCGGAACAGGAGAGUGCAGGAAAUUCUGUCCGUUCUCCCAUCUGGUCUCAGAUUUUCAGACAGGUAUUCAAGAUAUUAAAUAAAAAGUCGGCUGGGUGCAAUGGCUCACACCUGUAAUCUCAGCAGUUUGGGAGACCAAGGCGGGCAGACCGUUUAAGGCCAGGAGCUCGAGACCAGCGUGGUCAACAUGGUGAAACCCCAUCUCUGCUAAAAUUACAAAAAUUAGCCGGGCGUGGUGGCAGGUGCUUGUAGUCCCAGCUAGUGGAGAGGCUGAGGCAGGAGAAUCACUUGAACCCAGGAGGUGGAGCUUGCAGUGAGCCAAGAUCGUGCCGCUGCACUCCAGCCUGGUGACAGAGCAAGACUCUGAAAAAAAAAAAAAAAAAGGAAUUUCUUACCAAAUGCUCUUGCUUUUCUAUUUUGAUCAUUGGUGUUGUAAUAAUCUUUGUCAGAUGUUCAUUACACUUGUUCAGAAAUCCUGGUGUGUUACGGGUUAACUGGCCCUUGAUGGACAAGCCCCAACAGCUAAAUAAAAUAACACUGUUGCAGUGGGAAAAUGUGUUUUGAUCAUAUCUUGGAAUAUAACUUAGUUGGAAGUUGGGGCUACCGUAAUUUAUUUAUUUAUUUUAUUUUUUUGAGACAGAGUCUCCCUUUGUUGCCCAGGCUGGAGUGCAGCGGCACGAUCUCAGCUCACUGCAACCUCCGCUUCCCGGGUUCAAGUGAUUCUCCUGCCUCAGCCUCCUGAGAAGCUGAAAUUACAGGCACCCGCCUCCACAUCCGGCUAAUUUCUUGUAUUUUAGUAGAGACGGGGUUUCACUAUGUUGGCCAGGCUGGACUCGAUCUCCUGACCUCAGGUGACCCGUCUGCCUCGGCCUCCCACAGUGCUGGGAUUACAGGUGUGAGCCGCCACACCUGGCCUUAAUUCUUAACAAAUUCAAAUCAGCUACAUCUUGGGUCAAGUUCUUCACCUUGUUCACCUGGCCGGUGGUCCGCAGCUCACAGGGUGUCCCAGGGAUGAAGUGGGGUAAGGUAUGGGCUGCGGCAGUGCACGAGAGGUGCUCCUGAACCCCCUCGCUGGCGCCCACCCUGUUCUGUGCUGGGCACUCGUGUCGCACUCUGGAAACCCCGGUCUCCUCAUCUGUGAACCGGGGUGACUGUCCUGGAGUUGCCCCGCCUGCCUCCUAGGACGGCUGGGAGAUGCCGAGCAGGGAGCGGGAAGGGCUUUCUAUGCUGGAGACACGGUGUACAGUGUAUGAAACGCAGGCCCCUGGCUCCCCUGGAUGCUGAAGACACGGCGUACAGUGUAUUAAACGCAGGCCCCCGGCUCCUCUGGAUGCUGGAGACACGGAGUACAGUGUAUUAAACGCAGGCCCCCCCACCCCGGCUCCUCUGGAUUCAUCUGUUUUUGAAGAGAGACAUCUCCAGACCCCACGUCCUGGAAUCUUUGUAGAGGGUCAGCUCUGAGCUCCCGGAGCCAGGCCCUGCCUGCUCACCCAGCUCUAGAGGCUACAGCUGCAGCAAGAAACAAAUCUGCCCUCACCUCCUUCACCUGGAGCCAGCCUCCCCAGCACUCUGGUCUCAGGCGCUGGCGGGCAGGAGGUGAGUGCUGUGACGGUGGCGUGAAGGUGGGACUCCUGGGUGAGCUGAUGCUGCUUUGCCUUGGGCCCUCGGGUUCCUUGACCCUGGUGUCCCUCCUUCUGUCUCCUGGACUGUGGGGGUGGAGGGCCCUGAUCCUGGCUUCCCGGGUGGCUGGUGACUCCCCUAGGAUGGACGUUUCCCAUGGCCUGCAGUCACCGCGCACCUGCCUUGGACAGGAGCAGGUGUAGGGCUGCCCCUCCGCUGUGCAGGGUCUGCAGUGCAUAGUAGCCUCUGACCACGGCCUGGCAGCCCCCCACAACCCCCGCCCAGAGAACUUUCUGUUUUAACAGUUAAGCAUUUAUUUAAUGAGUGUUAGGAAAAGAUAGAGCUAACGCAAAAGAGGCCUGGACAAGAAUGGAAGGAUUUGGAGACAGUUUGUUUAUUUAUUUAUUUAUUUUAUGAUGAUGAUGAUUUAGAGACGAAGGGCUUGCUCCCAGGAUGGAAUGUGAAGGAGAGACUGUGGCUCACUGCAGCCUUGACCUCCCAGGCUCAAGCCAUCCUCCUGUCUCAGCCUCCAGAGCAACUGGGACUACAGGUGCACCACCAUGCCCAGCUGAUUUGUUUAAUCUUAAUUUUUUAUAGAGAGGGGGGUUUCGUCAUGUUGCCCAGACAGGUCUUGAACUCCUGGCCUCAAGCAAUCCUUCCACGUCGGCCCCCCAACGUGCCGGGAUGACAGGCGUGAGCCUCCAGCGUGCCGGGUGACAGCCGGG